rnacentral:rRNA from 1 species
UAGUCAUAUGCUUGUCUCAAAGAUUAAGCCAUGCAUGUCUAAGUAUAAGCACUUUAUACUGUGAAACUGCGAAUGGCUCAUUAAAUCAGUUAUCGUUUAUUUGAUAGUACCUUACUACAUGGAUACCUGUGGUAAUUCUAGAGCUAAUACAUGCUGAAAACCUCGACUUCGGAAGGGGUGUAUGUAUUAGAUAAAAAACCAAUGCCCUUCGGGGCUCCUUGGUGAAUCAUAAUAACUUAACGAAUCGCAUGGCCUUGCGCCGGCGAUGGUUCAUUCAAAUUUCUGCCCUAUCAACUUUCGAUGGUAGGAUAGUGGCCUACCAUGGUGGCAACGGGUAACGGGGAAUUAGGGUUCGAUUCCGGAGAGAAAGCCUGAGAAACGGCUACCACAUCCAAGGAAGGCAGCAGGCGCGCAAAUUACCCAAUCCCGACACGGGGAGGUAGUGACAAUAAAUACUGAUACGGGGCUCUUUUGGGUCUCGUAAUNGAAGAGUA